rnacentral:snRNA from 1 species
CUGCUCACUUCAGUAGCACAUAUACUAAAAAAAUUGGAGUGAUACAGACAUUAGCAUGGCCCCUUGGGCAAGGAUGACACGCAAAUUCGUGAUGCAUUCCAUAUUAAA